rnacentral:rRNA from 1 species
GGCUCGGCCGGGUGGUCCGCCUUUGGGUGUUGCACUGCCUGGUCGGGUCUUCCCCUCUUGGUGAACGGGCGUGUCCUUUACUGGGUGCGCUCGGGAACCAGGACCGUUACUUUGAGAAAAUUAGAGUGUUCAAAGCAGGCCUUGCGCCCGAAUACAUUAGCAUGGAAUAAUGAAAUAGGA